UACGUAGGGCGCAAGCGUUAUCCGGAAUUAUUGGGCGUAAAGAGCUCGUAGGCGGUUUGUCGCGUCUGCCGUGAAAGUCCGGGGCUCAACUCCGGAUCUGCGGUGGGUACGGGCAGACUAGAGUGAUGUAGGGGAGACUGGAAUUCCUGGUGUAGCGGUGAAAUGCGCAGAUAUCGGGAGGAACACCAGUGGCGAAGGCGGUUACCUGGAGCUUUGCUGACGCUGAUGCGCGAAAGCGUGGGGAGCGAUCCGG
rnacentral:rRNA from 1 species